CAAAGAAGCACUUACCAACCUAAUCAAGCUGUGGGGGGAAGAGAAGAGAGAGACAAUUGGUGGGAUGUUGCCCUUGAGCAGUGUCCUUGAAGAAUGGAAGAGCAGCAGCAGGAAGGAGAGCUCCUGCUUGUUGCCCUCUGAAUUGAGGCUCACCAUCAACCUGAAGGGAUGUCUGUUGUGCCUCACGUAGUUCACAGUGUGCAUUCAGUAUCAGACUACAACCAGGUUACCAUAACUGAAAUAGGUGUAGCAACACAUGAAUGUCUUCCCUCUGAGAAAUGCACUGUACCAUUUUAUCAUCUGGUGCAAUAAGAUGCCAUCAUACAGUGAGAUCAUCCUUCUGAUCCUGUCCAGAUUUUUCAGAUUCAGUGGCUAGUCUAUGGUGUUGGAAAUUCAGAUACCCAGUGGCCUUGUUGAGAAGAGGGAGGUAAUUCUGAUUGUGUAACUGAUGGUAUCAUGUGCUUAUUUUAUAUAUAUAGUACCCAUACAUCUGGGCAUCUGAUAACUCCAACAUUUCCAUUUAGAACUUACCACUUCCGCUGUACACAGACAUAGCAGGCAAUGCACUUUGUACAAAUUUGGAAUUUAAGGUCUCAGGUUACUGUCAGAUGAUUUGUAAUUAUUUCGUUCCUUCCGCUGAAAGACGCCUGUGAAGUAGUUCAUGGUAAUUUUUACUGAAGCAUUUAAAGAUUUCUCAUCCUGUUUAUUAUGCAUGGUUAAAACCAAUGAACCUACAACAAGGCCUUUUAACUUGGAUGUCUGUUUUCUUUUCUUUUGUGAAAAUCAAUCCUAAAUGUCCUACACGGGUUUUGUGUUUUGUAACAUUUUGCACUACCUUAUUUUUUAUUCAGCUUCACUGAUACGAGUAAUUCCCUGAAUUAAACUGAGACGCUAGGUUUAUGUGGAAUAAACAUAGCUUUAGAAUAGGAAAGGAAGAAUAA
rnacentral:lncRNA from 1 species